rnacentral:lncRNA from 1 species
UGCUAAAACGAAUUUAAUAUGUAUAUACUACUAUUAUAUUUCAUUUAAGUAAAGCAUUAAUAUAUAAUUAUACUAGUUUGCAUACUGACGACAUGCAUAAUAUAUUUGCAUUAAUUGGUGCGUGGUACACAAACCAAUGUUUUAUAUGUACUGCAAUUAAUUAAUUGGAUACCUAUGGAAUUUUCAACCGUUAAUAACUCAUCGACGGAACAGUGUUAGUCGAUGAUGUAGCCGGUAAAUUUACGAGAAAUUAUUCACGUUGAGAUCCAUCGAAGGUUCUAUCAUUAAACGAG